GGUGGAUAUAACUCAAUUGGUAGAGUGUUAGGUUGUGGUCUUAAAAGUUGCGAGUUCAAAUCUCGUUAUUCACC
rnacentral:tRNA from 1 species